GGCUUCGUAGCUCACCUGGUAGAGCGCUCACCGCGUUUGGGCAAAGCACUUCUGUCGCUGGUUUGAAUCCAACCGAAGUCU